GGCUGACGAGUGGCGNACGGGUGAGUAAUGUAUAGUUAAUUUGCCUCUUAGAUAGGGAUAGCCAUUGGAAACGAUGAUUAAUACCUAAUAUACCUGUUAUUGUAGUGAUAACAGGGAAAUGCUUUAUUGUGCUAAGAGAUAAGACUAUAUGGUAUCAGGUAGUUGGUGGGGUAAGAGCCUACCAAGCCAAUGACGCCUAGCUGGUCUGAGAGGAUGAUCAGCCACACUGGAACUGAGACACGGUCCAGACUCCUACGGGAGGCAGCAGUGGGGAAUAUUGCACAAUGGAGGAAACUCUGAUGCAGCAACGCCGCGUGGAGGAUGACGCAUUUCGGUGUGAAUCCCG
rnacentral:rRNA from 1 species